rnacentral:lncRNA from 1 species
AAACAGUGACAAUGAGCUUAACUCAGAAUCAGAAUUUUCUAAACAGAUUCAUAUCCUCAACAUCGCUCUCAGUUUAAAAGGUUACCGAAUGCGGGGUCGGAGUUGUGCUUUUGUUGUUGUCUUAUUGCUCGCUUGACGACAUCGGCGGUGAAAUGAACGCUUCGGCUCUUGAAUGAUUACAGUGGUGAGAUUUGAUGAAG